GUGUUCCUUGGAGUUCCCCUGACCACUUCAUUGGGGAUAUAUUAAAAACCUUAACUGAGGAAAUUUUUUCCUACUAAAGUGUUUAGGGGAACUCUAGGAGAUAG
rnacentral:pre_miRNA from 1 species